UACAGAGGGUGCGAGCGUUGUUCGGAAUUACUGGGCGUAAAGGGCGCGUAGGCGGCUUACCAAGUCAGGCGUGAAAUUCCCGGGCUCAACCUGGGGGCUGCGCUUGAUACUGGUGAGCUUGAAUGCGGGAGAGGAUAGUGGAAUUCCCAGUGUAGAGGUGAAAUUCGUAGAUAUUGGGAAGAACACCGGUGGCGAAGGCGGCUAUCUGGCCCGUAAUUGACGCUGAGGCGCGAAAGCGCGGGGAGCAAACAGG
rnacentral:rRNA from 1 species